GGGGGCAUAGCUCAGUUGGGAGAGCAGCAGACUGAAGCAAUGAGGUGUUCUGAAGGUCCCGCGUUCAAUCCGCGGUGCCCCCA